rnacentral:rRNA from 1 species
GACCAGACUCCUACGGGAGGCAGCAGUGGGGAAUAUUGCACAAUGGGGGAAACCCUGAUGCGGCGACGCCGCGUGAGCGAUGAAGUAUUUCGGUAUGUAAAGCUCUAUCAGCAGGGAAGAAAAUGACGGUACCUGACUAAGAAGCCCCGGCUAACUACGUGCCAGCAGCCGCGGUAAUACGUAGGGGGCAAGCGUUAUCCGGAUUUACUGGGUGUAAAGGGAGCGUAGACGGCAUGGCAAGUCAGAUGUGAAAGCCCGGGGCUCAACCCCGGGACUGCAUUUGAAACUGUUAGGCUGGAGUGCAGGAGAGGUAAGUGGAAUUCCUAGUGUAGCGGUGAAAUGCGUAGAUAUUAGGAGGAACACCAGUGGCGAAGGCGGCUUACUGGACUGUAACUGACGUUGAGGCUCGAAAGCGUGGGGAGCAAACAGGAUUAGAUACCCUCGUA